GCCUGCGGCAGCUCCUACAGUUGGCCUUGGUGGCCGCCGAUUUCGCGGAUCGGCGCCGAUUCUGUAGGAGCUGCCGCAGGC
rnacentral:antisense_RNA from 1 species